rnacentral:rRNA from 1 species
CCUACGGGUGGCUGCAGUGGGGAAUAUUGGACAAUGGGCGAAAGCCUGAUCCAGCCAUGCCGCGUGUGUGAAGAAGGCCUUCGGGUUGUAAAGCACUUUCAGUGGGGAAGAAAGCCUUGGGUCUAAUACCCUCGAGGAAGGACAUCACCCACAGAAGAAGCACCGGCUAACUCCGUGCCAGCAGCCGCGGUAAUACGGAGGGUGCGAGCGUUAAUCGGAAUUACUGGGCGUAAAGCGCGCGUAGGCGGUCUGAUAAGCCGGUUGUGAAAGCCCCGGGCUCAACCUGGGAACGGCAUCCGGAACUGUCAGGCUAGAGUGCAGGAGAGGAAGGUAGAAUUCCCGGUGUAGCGGUGAAAUGCGUAGAGAUCGGGAGGAAUACCAGUGGCGAAGGCGGCCUUCUGGACUGACACUGACGCUGAGGUGCGAAAGCGUGGGUAGCAAACAGGAUUAGAUACCCCUGUAGUC